rnacentral:tRNA from 1 species
GCAUUGGUGCUUCAGUGGUAGGAUUCUUGUCUUCCAAGCAGGAGACCCUGGCUUUAUUCCUGGCCAUUGCA